GUGAUCAGUUGGGACUUUCAAGGGUCCGCGUGGCUCCUGACUCAACACCGGUCCUAUAACCCGGGCCACAUCCCAGCCUCUAACCAGACUGGACCUUGCGUGGUGGAACAGGUCUCCUAGUCUGGUCAUGCUUACCUGUCCCGGAAGAAAGAUACAUCAUUGCAGUGCUCCUUCCACCUAUCUGCCUGCUGGGAAGGACUGAAAAGCUAAACAUACCUUUUAUAGACAACCUGCCAAAAUUUGCUUCAUAUGGAUACCUCCUCUCCACCUUCCAGGAAGAAAGACAACAACCGAACAACCAGCCAUUUACCAUCCAAUCAAGAUUCUGGUAGCUGUUAUCUACUGACAUCCCAGACACUCCCCUUCUUUCCUCAAUAAAUUCAAUACCUGAUAGUUUUUUCUUCCUCCUGCCCUCAUACUAGGGGACUUUCAACAUAUGCAAUCAUAUUCCUUUAUACACUCUCCCAAAAGUCUUGGUAUAUUGUCUCAUUUUUGCAAUUUUCUUUGAUGAAAUUAUCCAUAGUUUAUAUGAUGUUUAGUUUGUUAACCUUUAGGAUUAAAUGAUUUAGUCUCUACUUGUUUGAAUUGUAUCUUUAAAUGUUUAUUAUUAAUUUUUUUUUGUAUUUUGGUCUUUAAAAGGUGUAUUUGAUAUUUUUGUUUUUCUCCAUUUGUUUAUGAGGUUUUUAUGCACUAGUACAGUCAAUUUUUAAAGAUACCCUACAAAGUUGAGAAAUAUGUAUGUGUAUUCCUUUUUUUUUCCCAUUCAGUAAUUAUCAGAGUUCAAUCAUAUCUA